ensembl:lncRNA
CAUUGAGUUUCGACUUUACAGUCAUUGACCAUAAAGCACAUUAAAAAUGUAAGUUGUUUUUAAAUAUCAUCUGAAAUAAAAAGAUCCUUUUUAAAAAGGAAAAGCUAAAGAUGUAUAUUGAGACCAACACAGCAUUUUGAUUUGGAUCAGCCCUCAUCUGAUAAUUAGCUUGUAGAUUUUUUGUAGAUAUUUUUCGCUUACUUGGCCAUUGACUAGAAACAUUUAUAGUUCUGUUCCCUGCAAAGGCAAUGGGAAACUUACUCCUACAUCAGAAAUGCUUGCCUCUCUGAGUAAAAGUGUAUCUUUGAAAUGAGCCCCAGAGGGAGCACUUUUACUCAGCCUUGCCUUUCUACAGCGAUAACAGUCUACUUGUACUUUCUUUGUUUCCCAUAUUGUUUUCAAUCUUUUGUUUAUAAUUAGAAGUUGUAAGAAGCUGCAUUUAAUGUUCAGAAAUAUGGGAAAAGAAAGCAGACUUAAUAUGUAUGUAAGAUCAAUUUUCUAAUAGGAAAGAUAUGUUCCAAAAUAGCUAAGUAGGUCAAGAUAAAAACAUGUAGUCUUUUCUUUUUUUCGUUUAAUGUGUACUUAGUCUUUUGUCUGUGUCUGUUUUAUUCCACUAGAAUAAAUGUGUCCUUGAUGUAAAUGCAAAGCAUUUCUUCCUGAUUAAAAUUGUAGAUGUAGAUUUUACAAUAUAAUUCAGUAAUAAAAAUGUAAUUAACCUCUAGUUUUGUCAUUGCAAUAAAUACUUUCCAAAUAGGACAAACUAUAAGAUUUCCUGAUAACAUUUUUUUUUUUGCUUUUUUUGCUUUUUAGGGCCACAUCUGCCGGCAGCUGUAGCUCCAAUUAGACCCCUAGCCUGGGAACCUCGAUAUGCCGCAAAUGCAGCCCUAAAAAGACAAAAGACAAAAAAAAGCUGGGUGUUUAAAGUGCUGAGCCACAAGAGAAUUCCAGAAGUGGGUAUUUUCUUAUUCUGUCGUUACAAAUUAGGAAAUUGACACUGGGACAGGUUAAGAAACUUGCCUGAAAUGAUGAGUCUGGCUGCACACGGUAAUGGCAAAGGAGACCUGAAGACCCAGGCUCUGAAUACUGGCGGAACCAGUUCUGUUCAUCCAUGCUCCUUCCACAAAUUCAGUGGCGCCUGUACGUUUCAGGCUUUUUAGGCUCACUUCUAGUUUUAAUCUUCGUCUGUAGCCAUUUAACUUUGAACCCUCUUGACUUUAAUUCAUUUUCUGUUUCUUAAUCUCUUUACCAUCUUCACACAGGUUUUUUUUUGCAAUGUAUUUUUUUUUUAUGUCUUCGAUUCAUGUGAUCAGUCUGUCACUUUGAAUUAGCAGUCACAGUUCACACAGCAUCUUCCCACCAAAGAUUUAGGAAGAAAACAGGGAAGGAGACAUGGAAUUUUUAGUGCAGGGAGACCUAAAACAGAUCAAUUUUGUUAUGUUCUGGUAUGGACUCAUUAGUUGAACUGACACUUGAUAACAUUUAUUCUGUCUGUGUUCACAGUGCUUUGAAAUUGAUUGCUUGUAAAAUUUUACUGCCCAUUUCAACAGAUAUUUAUUUAAUGCCUCCAUUGUGCCAGGUAUAAUGUUUGGCAGUGCAUGGAUGCAGUUUUAGAAAUAUCUUGAACUUGUCUUGGGCAUUCUUUAGGGGAAGUAGUUUUAUUUUUUAUUUUAUUUUUUGGGGGGCGGGGAGUAGUUUUUAAAAAACAUUUGAUCCUCAUUAAUCACAAUAUAGGUUUAUUAGCUGUUAAAAUGUUGUUUGUUCUUUAAUUAAAAGGAAUUAGUAAUGUUUAACUCAUGUAAGUCAAAGAACCAAAAAUUUGUCAGCCUUUUUGGAAUAAAUCAAAGCUAUCAAAA